GACGAACGCUGGCGGCGUGCCUAACACAUGCAAGUCGAGCGAAGUGAGUACUACGGUACGAACUUAGCGGCGGACGGGUGAGUAACGCGUGGACAAUCUACCCUGUAGACUGGGAUAACACCUCGAAAGGGGUGCUAAUACCGGAUAAUGUCGAGAAGCGGCAUCGCUUUUCGAAGAAAGGAGAGAAUCCACUAUAGGAGGAGUCCGCGUCCCAUUAGCUAGUUGGUGAGGGUAACGGCCCACCAAGGCGACGAUGGGUAGCAGGCCUGAGAGGGUGAACGGCCAAACUGGAACUGAGACACGGUCCAGACUCCUACGGGAGGCAGCAGUGGGGAAUAUUGUGCAAUGGGGGAAACCCUGACACAGCAACGCCGCGUGAGCGAAGAAGGCCUUCGGGUUGUAAAGCUCAAUAGUAUGGGAAGAUAAUGACGGUACCAUACGAAAGCCCCGGCUAACUACGUGCCAGCAGCCGCCGUAACAC
rnacentral:rRNA from 1 species